rnacentral:lncRNA from 1 species
AGGUGAAGAGGCUCAAGUUGAAGGUCGGUUCGAUCUGUUUGGAGAUAGUGCUAAUCUUGAUGCAAGAUAGGUGAACGGUUUUCAUGGAACAUACCAUAUGCUAAGAAAUCUAUUUGGAUGCAUCGCAAUAGAACUCCUAGAUGACAUGUGUCAUAUGGAAUCUCGCUUUGGUUUAUUUGGAGACAGAGUUAGUUUUGGUGCAAGAUAGGUACACAGUUUGCGCCUAAUGCAUCAUAGGCUAAGAAACCAUUUUGGAUGCACCCGAUGAUACUCCUGGGUAAAGGGGCUCAAGUGGAAGCUCAGUUUGCUUUGUUUGGAGAUAGUGCUAAUCUUGAUGCAAGAUAGGUGCACGAAUUGCAUCGAACGUACCUUAUGCUUAGAAAUAUAUUUGGAAGCACCCAAUAGAACUCCUAGAUGAUGUGUGUCAUAUAGAAUCUCACUUCGGUCUCUUUGGAGAUAGUGUUAGUUUCGGUGCAAGAUAGGUACACGGUUUGUGCCAAAUGCACCAUAGGCUAAGAAACUAUUUUGGACGCACGCGAUGGUACUCCUUGGUGAAGAGGCUCAUGUGGAACCUUGGUUCUGUGUAUUUGAAGAUAGUUCCAAUCUUGAUGCAAGAUAGGUGCACGGUUUGCAUGGAACAUACCAUAUGCUCAGAAAUCAAUUUGGACACACCCGAUGGAACUGUAGAUGCACCCGAUGGAACUACUAGAUGAAGUGUAUCAUAUGGAAUCUCGCUUCAGUCCAGAUGGAGAUAAUAUUAGUUUUGGUGCAAGAUAGUUGCAUGGUUUGUGCCCAGUGCACCAUAGGCUCAGAAAUCGUUGUGGAAGUUCCCGAUGGUACUCCUAGGUGAAGAGGCUCAAGUGAAAGCUCGGUUCGGUCUGUUUGGAGAUAGUGCUAAUCUUGAUGAAAGAUAGGUGUACGGUUUGCAUUGAACGUACCGUAUUCUCAGAAAUCAAUUUGGACGCACUCGAUAGAACUCCUAGAUCAUGUGUGUCAUAUGGAAUCUCGCUUCAAUCUGUUUGGAGACAGUUUAGGUGCAAGAUUGGUGCAUGGUUUGCGCAUAAUGCACCAUAGGCUCGGAAACCAUUAUGGAAGCACCCGAUAGUACUCCUAGGUGAAGAGGCUCAAGUGGAAGGUCGGUUCGAUCUGUUUGGAGAUAGUGCUAAUCUUGAUGCAAGAUAGGUGAACGGUUUCCAUGGAACAUACCAUAUGCUAAGAAAUCUAUUUGGAUGCAUCGCAAUAGAACUCCUAGAUGACAUGUGUCAUAUGGAAUCUCGCUUUGGUUUAUUUGGAGACAGAGUUAGUUUUGGUGCAAGAUAGGUACACAGUUUGCGCCUAAUGCAUCAUAGGCUAAGAAACCAUUUUGGAUGCACCCGAUGAUACUCCUGGGUAAAGGGGCUCAAGUGGAAGCUCAGUUUGCUUUGUUUGGAGAUAGUGCUAAUCUUGAUGCAAGAUAGGUGCACGAAUUGCAUCGAACGUACCUUAUGCUUAGAAAUAUAUUUGGAAGCACCCAAUAGAACUCCUAGAUGAUGUGUGUCAUAUAGAAUCUCACUUCGGUCUCUUUGGAGAUAGUGUUAGUUUCGGUGCAAGAUAGGUACACGGUUUGUGCCAAAUGCACCAUAGGCUAAGAAACUAUUUUGGACGCACGCGAUGGUACUCCUUGGUGAAGAGGCUCAUGUGGAACCUUGGUUCUGUGUAUUUGAAGAUAGUUCCAAUCUUGAUGCAAGAUAGGUGCACGGUUUGCAUGGAACAUACCAUAUGCUCAGAAAUCAAUUUGGACACACCCGAUGGAACUGUAGAUGCACCCGAUGGAACUACUAGAUGAAGUGUAUCAUAUGGAAUCUUGCUUCAGUCCAGUUGGAGAUAAUAUUAGUUUUGGUGCAAGAUAGUUGCAUGGUUUGUGCCCAGUACACCAUAGGCUCAGAAAUCGUUGUGGAAGUUCCCGAUGGUACUCCUAGGUGAAGAGGCUCAAGUGAAAGCUCGGUUCGGUCUGUUUGGAGAUAGUGCUAAUCUUGAUGAAAGAUAGGUGUACGGUUUGCAUGGAACGUACCGUAUUCUCAGAAAUCAAUUUGGACGCACCCGAUAGAAGUCCUAGAUCAUGUGUGUCAUAUGGAAUCUCGCUUCAAUCUGUUUGGAGACAGUUUAGGUGCAAGAUUGGUGCAUGGUUUGCGCAUAAUGCACCAUAGGCUCGGAAACCAUUAUGGAAGCACCCGAUAGUACUCCUAGGUGAAGAGGCUCAAGUUGAAGGUCGGUUCGAUCUGUUUGGAGAUAGUGCUAAUCUUGAUGCAAGAUAGGUGAAUGGUUUUCAUGGAACAUACCAUAUGCUAAGAAAUCUAUUUGGAUGCAUCGCAAUAGAACUCCUAGAUGACAUGUGUCAUAUGGAAUCUCGCUUUGGUCUCUUUGGAGACAGAGUUAGUUUUGGUGCAAGAUAGGUACACAGUUUGCGCCUAAUGCAUCAUAGGCUAAGAAACCAUUUUGGAUGCACCCGAUGAUACUCCUAGGUAAAGGGGCUCAAGUGGAAGCUCAGUUUGCUUUGUUUGGAGAUAGUGCUAAUCUUGAUGCAAGAUAGGUGCACGAAUUGCAUCGAUCGUACCAUAUGCUUAGACAUAUAUUUGGAAGCACCCAAUAGAACUCCUAGAUGAUAUGUGUCAUAUAGAAUCUCACUUCGGUCUCUUUGGAGAUAGUGUUAGUUUCGGUGCAAGAUAGGUACACGGUUUGUGCCAAAUGCACCGUAGGCUAAGAAACUAUGUUGGACGCACGCGAUGGUACUCCUUGGUGAAGAGGCUCAUGUGGAACCUUGGUUCUGUGUAUUUGAAGAUAGUUCCAAUCUUGAUGCAAGAUAGGUGCACGGUUUGCAUGGAACAUACCAUAUGCUCAGAAAUCAAUUUGGACACACCCGAUGGAACUGUAGAUGCACCCGAUGGAACUACUAGAUGAAGUGUAUCAUAUGGAAUCUCGCUUCAGUCCAGUUAGAGAUAAUAUUAGUUUUGGUGCAAGAUAGUUGCAUGGUUUGUGCCCAGUGCACCAUAGGCUCAGAAAUCGUUGUGGAAGUUCCCGAUGGUACUCCUAGGUGAAGAGGUUCAAGUGAAAGCUCGGUUCGGUCUGUUUGGAGAUAGUGCUAAUCUUGAUGAAAGAUAGGUGUACGGUUUGCAUGGAACGUACCGUAUUCUCAGAAAUCAAUUUGGACGCACCCGAUAGAACUCCUAGAUCAUGUGUGUCAUAUGGAAUCUCGCUUUAAUCUGUUUGGAGACAGUUUAGGUGCAAGAUUGGUGCAUGGUUUGCGCAUAAUGCACCAUAGGCUCAGAAACCAUUAUGGAAGCACCUGAGAGUACUCCUAGGUGAAGAGGCUCAAGUUGAAGGUCGGUUCGAUCUGUUUGGAGAUAGUGCUAAUCUUGAUGCAAGAUAGGUGAACGGUUUGCAUGGAACAUACCAUAUGCUAAGAAAUCUAUUUGGAUGCAUCGCAAUAGAACUCCUAGAUGACAUGUGUCAUAUGUGUAACACCCUAAAUUUUGAAAGUCUUUAAAAUAGAAGAAUUUGAUUUAAUUUUGUGUUUUGUGCUCAUAAAAAUAUAAAAACAAUGAUAUUUUUUCAUUAAAUUAAAAAUUAUCAUAGGAGUUAGCAAUGUGGUUGAGCAUGCAUGCCCUUGCAUUUAUUUUAUUGAGAUGUGUGGCUGCGUCAAAAAAAAAUUCCAAAUGAUUCAAAAUAUUUUUGAAAAGAUGUGAAAAUAGCUUUGGAAUAAAAGAAAACAAAAAGGAAAGAAAAAAAAGGAAAACCUCCCCCUCUCUCAUUUUUCCCCCUCGACCCUCUCCCGUGGCCACUUGGCCCAGCAACGUGGCCCAAUGGCCAGCUCAGACAGUGAGCCGAAGCCCAGGUCGCACGCGUUCCCUCCUCUCCUCCUUCCUUCCGACUGACAGCCCGGUCCCGCGCUACCGGUCACUGACUGAUGGGACCCAAUCGUCAGCGUCUUCCUCCCUCCUUUCCUUCAUCUUCUCGACGGGCUCAUGCAGGACUCAAGCCGGUUGGAAUCAACCCCGAAAUCUUCGGGAGUUUUCUUGCCCAACGCGUAAUCCGAGCAUUCUGUGAGUUUUGGAAGCCGCCCCGUGUUUCUUUUUCCCUUAUACGCGGUCUAUCCAAGCCCUAGACGCCCUAUUGCGAGUACUCGAAUCUCGGCGAGUCCAGAACCAACCCGCCGCGGUGAACCUCGAAUUUCGUCACGGUUUGUGCUUCGGUGAGUGGUUACCGAGGUCUGUGAUGACCUUGCGAAGCAGAAAGAUCGCUCCCUAUGUUUUCUAGUGCUUCCAGUGUCUCUCUAAUCGACACCG